rnacentral:lncRNA from 1 species
UACAGAAAGGCCAGGAUGGAGAUCUCCUUCUCUAUUGGACAUCAAACCUAAAUGUGCUUCGGAGCAAGAAAAACAUAAAAAAUGUGUCGUAAUUGACAAAACCAUACAGAUAUACAUAUAUUAAAAUCGAAACAUAAGAUUUAAACAGAUUAUAGAUAAGUACUCUACGUCCACGAACAUUUAAAGCUAAAUACUUAAUGUUUGAACAAUAAAAUCUCCAACGUAAAGAUUCUGUGCAUAAAUUCGAACAUUCAAAGCUAACUGUUUGAAGUUUAGACAUAGCAUGAUACUCUUUCCAAAACUACAGUAUAUAAAGAUGACUUAAAAUAAUAAUUGUACCAAAAUUGAACAAACAAAUUGAUAAAAUUAUAAUUUUAACCACUCUUUGCAAACUGAAAAAAGGGGAUUGUAUUCCUUUUAUUAAUUAAUGCUGAAUGGACGACUUACUCUAGGAGAAGAAAAAAAUGCUUUAUGGAUCUGAAAGAUUAAGAAGAGUGAAUUUUAAAAGAUUUUUUAUGGCAUCAAUUUUUAUUUUUUCAUGUGUUACAAUAUUUAUAAAUAAACUUAACCGAUUGUAGAUACCAUGAUAUCCGGAAGGGAGAUCGUUCAAGCAGCAAGGCUCCAUUACCUAAGCAUAUUGACAGUUAUAAGUGUAAGAACCAAUUAAAGAAUAAAAGAAUAGAAUAUUAAACAAAUACAAAUGCUAUUAAUGAAGAAAAGAACUAACAAUUUGGUGACUCAUUGAUUCAAUUUGGAUGAAACCUUUUACAGGAUUCAAGGUGGAAUUGGCUUCCAACGUCUUCAUCGUCGUUGAAAUCCUCAUCCUCAUCAUUAUCUUGAGAUGUGUUCAUGUAUAGCCGCACAGGUUGAGAAGUGAUUGAUGAGAGAAUGAUAAAGCAUAUAUGAGUUUAUAUAGGAGAGAAAUGGUGCUCUAGGGUUUUUUGUAUUUUAGUAAGUUG